rnacentral:rRNA from 1 species
GUGCCAGCAGCCGCGGUAAUACGGAAGGUCCGGGCGUUAUCCGGAUUUAUUGGGUUUAAAGGGAGCGUAGGCGGUAUUUUAAGCGUGUUGUGAAAUGUAGAUGCUCAACAUCUGAAUUGCAGCGCGAACUGGAGUACUUGAGUGCGCAGGAAGUUGGCGGAAUUCGUCGUGUAGCGGUGAAAUGCUUAGAUAUGACGAAGAACUCCGAUUGCGAAGGCAGCUGACUGUAGCGUAACUGACGCUGAAGCUCGAAGGUGCGGGUAUCGAACAGGAUUAGAUACCCUGGUAGUCCGCACAGUAAACGAUGGAUGCUCGCUGUGUGCCUUCGGGUACGCGGCUAAGGGAAACCAUUAAGCAUCCCACCUGGGGAGUACGCCGGCAACGGUGGAACUCAAAGGAAUUGACGGGGGCCCGCACAAGCGGAGGAACAUGUGGUUUAAUUCGAUGAUACGCGAGGAACCUUACCCGGGCUUGAACUGCAGCGGAAGGAUACAGAGAUGUUGACGUCCUUCGGGACCGCUGUGGAGGUGCUGCAUGGUUGUCGUCAGCUCGUGCCGUGAGGUGUCGGCUUAAGUGCCAUAACGAGCGCAACCCCUGUCGUUAGUUGCCAUCACUUCGGGUGGGCACUCUGGCGAUACUGCCACCGUAAGGUGUGAGGAAGGUGGGGAUGACGUCAAAUCAGCACGGCCCUUACGUCCGGGGCUACACACGUGUUACAAUGGCGUGUACAGAGAGUUGGUGCCGGGCAAUCGGCAUCUAAUCAAUAAAACACGUCUCAGUUCGGAUUGGGGUCUGCAACCCGACCCCAUGAAGCUGGAUUCGCUAGUAAUCGCGCAUCAGCCAUGGCGCGGUGAAUACGUUCCCGGGCCUUGUACACACCGCCCGU